CAGUUUAGAGCGCGGGCUUUGGAGUAGCUCAGAGUUGUGUUAUAACCUUGGCUUCUUUACUCACCUAGGACAUAGACUCUCUCUUUAGCUGUAGCUUCCUCCCCUCUGAGAUGGAAAUUAUAAACCAUCUCGCAAUGUGGUGAGGAUUGUAGCUCAAGUGUGUAAAAUGCCUCCUCUGUGGGCUCUCCUUGGAGAGUUCUUGUAUCCUAUUGAUUGUCAUCAAAGGAAAAAAGUGGCAGGAUGAUGGUGUUAAGUGGGAAGAACCUUGAGUUUAAUAGUCUGAAAAAGUGGUUACAGGUUCUUGCUGUGCUUUUCCUCUCUGGUUUUCUGAACCCAUCGCCUAACCUGAAGCCUUAAACUUCAUCUGCAAAAAUGUUUUGUGGCAGGUGCCUCUGAAGCAGAACUCUUGAGAUGGAAGGAUUGUCAUCUGAGGAAAAAAAAUCAAGAUUAAGAGAGGAGGAACUAGAAUGAGAUUCACAUACCCUCUCUCCUCCACAGGAAGGAGAGAGUGGUGAUGCCUGCCCACUCCUUCCUGGGCAGAACGUUUGUAGCAUGGAACAUUGGAGAAUUUGCAGUCUGCUGACUUUCUGAUUUAGGAGGUUGAUGAGGAGGCCUUAUAAUUUGCAUUUCUAACAAGUUCUGAGGUGAUGGUUCAAGUAUGUCCAGGCAGAAGGGCCACCUCACAGAGAUUUCUGCCAUACCACGUGGGAAUUGAAGUCACAGACAUCUCCAACCCUCAAGCCUGAAACCAAAAGACUGAAAACCAACACUACAGUGGACAAAGAACAUCUCAGAACUUCUGUGGGGACCAGUGACACAAGGACCUAAGGUCUCUCUCGUCUCAUCUUGGCACUUCAGAAGUCUCCCCAAUCUUGACAAAGCCCUGGAGAAAGGGGCGGGCCUCCCGUUGAUAAGAUUAUCACUGCAGAUAAAUGGAGGUUUCAAAUUGAAAGAAAGGAGGAGGGCCUCCUGUUGAUAAAAUUAUUGCCACUGCAGGUAAAUGGAGGUUUCAAAUAGAAAUACGUUUCAGUUACAGAAAAAAAAAUUAUCUUUGUUACACAUUUGAGUUUGCAGGCCUAAGGUUACUCCUGCUACACUAUCAUCCGUAACCAUAAGGCACUCAACAUUUUAAGCUAACUAUAAGGAUUUUUGCUUCACUCAAAGAUCUUGAGGUCUUAUUCACUUAACAUUUUUAUUUGGUGACUAUAGUUGACAAGAACAAAGCUGUGGGGAACCAACAAACACUGUAAUGCCUGGCAUUGUCACCUCAGUAGAUUGUGAGUUCCUCUGGGACAGGGUCCAUACAUUUUCUUCAAAUCCCUCACUUAGCCAUUAGCCUGCACAGUGCUUAUACUUAGUAAGUGCUCAGUAAAUGUUUUUGGAAUGAAUGCAUGAUGAACAAAAUAUAUACUGAGGACUCUGGUGUUGAUUCUUGUUGAUAAUGUAAUAGUUAAGAUAUGUUAUAAAUAUUGUAUCAAAA